CAGGGCGGAGAUCUGGCCUUGGAUCUGGGAGAGCUGCACGCAGUAGCGACCUUCUGUUUCUGCCAGGGAGGCUUCCAGCGAUUGUUUCUGAGAAGAAGGUUUUAGUAAGUGCAGUGAAACAUGGAAAUUCUUCAGCAAGACGUCGCCACAGAAGGGAAGUGGCUAGGACUCGUGCUUAAAGGCAGCUCUGCAGUUUGAGCACGAUGCUAACAGUUCUCCCCGACCCUGCAAAGCUGUGAUUUCCGUUCCACUUUCUUGUCCCCCCCUCAUUUUUAGCAUGAAACAGUGCAGGAUAAAAUAAAAGCCAUUUUACAAGAUUUAACAUACCAGGGCCAGUUGGGACUGCAGCUCGAUCUCGAGACCCUGCACAGUGCGCCUCAAUUCAGUAAUUUCACUCUUAUGGCUGGACAUUUGUUCAAUGUUGCUGUCAAUUUCUGUGGUGAGUUCCUUGCUCUAAAAGAUUAAAAACGGGAAAAGAUGAGAACAUCCGGGCAUGAUCACAAGAUCUCCAGGAGCUUUGCUGAGAAGGGCAGUUACUUACCUUCUCAUUGAACCAGGCUUCUACAUCCUUGCGAUUCUUUUCUGCAAGCUGUUCGUAUUGGCUUCUCAUGUUGUCCAGCAUUUGAGUCAGGUCAACUCCUGGAGCCGCAUUCAUUUCCACGUUCACGUCACCAGUGGUCACGUUUUGAAGGUCUCUCAUUUCCUAUUUGAGGAAUAGUUAGAUUUAAUGAAUGCGCCAUGACCAAGAUGAACACUCCCCCCCUUUUAAGGGGGGAAAUGUAAUUUUGUGUCACCUCUUCAUGGUUCUUCUUCAGGUAGGCCAGCUCUUCAGUCACACUCUCAAUCUGCAUUUCCAGGUCGGCCUUGCUAAGGGUCAGCUCAUCCAGGACCCUGCGCAGGCCAUUGAUGUCGGCUUCCACGCUCUGGCGCAGGGCAACUUCAUUCUCAUAUCUGAAACAAGCAGGAUACAAACCCUGGAUACACAGACCAAUGGAGGAAUACCUGGACGAAGACUGACUAUAAAUGCAGAUUUGAUUUCAUAUCCUGGCACCAUUUGUAAUACACUAAUUCAUGUAGGAAUAGCAAUAGUUUGAUACAAAGAGUUAACUGUUACUUUAAGACACAUCUUCCUUUAAAGGUUACCCCAAAGAUAUUACAGUCAAAACUUCAACAGCUCAGAACUAUUUUGCUCUGGAUGAGCUCAGGAAAAUAUAAAUGCUGUCGUGGGCCUCCAAAGUCAUUGUUGGAAACACCUGCUUUCUUUGUACCCCAUCUACUCAACUUACUUCAGCCUGAAGUCGUCAGCUGCCAGCCUGGCAUUGUCGAUCUGCAGCAGGACGUUGGCAUUUUCAGUAGUCAGGGUUCUCAGUCAUCUGUCCUCCUGGAAGACAGGCAACACACAUGCUCGAUGAAAUAGACAUGCCCUGGCUUCAUAAAUAUCUUUGAUGAGACUUGGUUCCACUAGACACGGAAAAACAAACAACUCGUAGUUUGACUCUUCCAGAGCCCGGACCUUGUCCAUGUAGGAAGCCAGACGGUCGUUCAGGUUCUGCAUGGUCACUUUUUCAUUUCCGGAGAGAAGGCCGCCACCAUCUCCUCCAUAUCCACCACCGAAGCCUCCUCCGUAGCCACCUCCGCCGAAGCUGCCCCCACCGUAGCUGCCUCCACCGUAGCUGCCUCCACCAAAGCUGCCACCCCCGAAGCUGCCUCCUCCAUAGCCCCCACCGAAGCUGCCUCCUCCAUAGCCCCCACCAAAGCUGCCUCCUCCCAGACCUCCAUAGCCACCUGAUGAGCCCCCAAAGCAACCUCCCCCAGAGCUCCCACGGCUAAAGGAGCCACCGCUGAACCCCCCUGAGCUAAACCCUCCACCAUGGGAGCUUUUGCUGCUGGAAAUUCUGAGGGAUGAUCCUCCACCACCUCCUCCUCCUCCACUGCGGGAGGAAGAGUACUGCUUGCUGGAGCUGUAACGAACAGACAUGGUGAUGUAGAGCAGCCCAGGGAGUGCCUGCUACCAAGGACAGGGACAGGCCUUUAUAUACUGAGAGGGCGUGGCUCACAGGUCCUCGGGUUUGCUUGCUUGGACAGUUUUCUUUUUGUCGGCUUAGCAUCUUUGGCUGAUGACUGCAUAAAUUAAUAUGCAGUAAUAACCAAUACCUUUUCAAUGUGUUUGUAUCUGCCCUGGGUACGACAGGAGACUUGCUGUGUUGAAACUGAAAAAUGGGUGGAGUUCAGAUGAGUCCAUUUUACCUUUGAGGACCAUUGAGUCACAAUUUUUCUAGUGCUAACUUAGGCUGUAUUCAGUAUUUGCUAACGAUAAAAAUAAAAGAAAUCUGGUUACAAAGUACAGUUGAAAUAUGAA